rnacentral:rRNA from 1 species
CAUGGCUCAGAAUGAACGCUGGCGGCGUGCUUUACACAUGCAAGUCGAGCGAGGCAGGGGGGCAACCCCCGAGUCGAGCGGCGAACGGGUGAGUAACGCGUGGAUGACCUGCCCUUCAGCGGGGAAUAACCCGGGGAAACUCGGGCUAAUACCGCAUACGAUCGAGAGAUGAAAGGGGGCCGCAAGGCUCUCACUGAAGGAGGGGUCCGCGUCCGAUUAGCUAGUUGGUAGGGUAAUGGCCUACCAAGGCGACGAUCGGUAGCCGGCCUGAGAGGGUGAUCGGCCACACUGGAACUGAGACACGGUCCAGACUCCUACGGGAGGCAGCAGUGGGGAAUUUUGCGCAAUGGGCUAACGCCUGACGCAGCAACGCCGCGUGGAGGAUGAAGGUCUUUGGAUUGUAAACUCCUGUCAGCGGGGAAAAAGCGACCGUGGCUAACAUCCACGGGAGUUGAUUGUACCCGCAGAGGAAGCCCCGGCUAACUCUGUGCCAGCAGCCGCGGUAAUACAGAGGGGGCAAGCGUUAUUCGGAAUUAUUGGGCGUAAAGGGCGCGUAGGCGGCUUUGCAAGUGACGGGUGAAAUCCCUCGGCUUAACCGAAGGAACUGCCUGUCAGACUGCAUGGCCUUGAGACCAGGAGAGGUGAGUGGAAAUUCCCAGUGUAGCGGUGAAAUGCGUAAGAAUAAUUGGGGAGGAACACUCAGUUGGNCGAAAGGCGGCUUCACUGGGAACUGGGUUACCUGAACGGCUGGAAGGCGCCGAAAAGCCGUGGGNNGGCAAAAACAGGAAUUAGAAUACCCUGGUUAGUCCCACGCCCUAANGAUGNCGAACUGGNAUGNUUGGGUUUCCAACUU